AGCCAACCGUCGCUUAAGAAGCCGACGGAUGCCAGAAGCAAGCUGACAAACGCUGUGAAAAGCAUUGACGGACGGCGGAUCGGACAUCUCUGCUAACAAAGCCAGAUGAUGCCGUGAAAGAAGCUGACCAACUACUGCAUGAGAAGCCGGUGGAUGUCAGACUCAAAGCCAGCGUUAAGAAACUGGACGACGUUAAUGGAUUUUGUGGAACAUCAAAAGAAACUUGGAUGUGGCUCUCUCU